UUCCGAUGAGCCUAUUAACACAGAGAAAGCAUUUAUUGAUUUUCCUUUCUUAAUUUGCAGUCUGACAAUGUCCCAGGCACAACAGAUGUGUUCUUUCUUUCUCACUUAGAGACUGAUUGCUUGUGAAUACUCCUUCACAGCCAGGCUGGAGUCCUCCUGCUCAAUGUCUCUUUGAUUUCCUAUACCCAAACAGGUCUCCAGAAAUUCUAGCUACUGAUCAAGCCCAGUGAGGAAUUUCAGUUCUUUGUGCUGAAAACGUUGGAGAUCUGCUGGAUCAUCUCAUGAAGAACACUGCUGGACUGCAGUGCUGCUGUCAUACCUCACUACAUCCUCGAACUCCUGGGCCCAAGUGAUCCUCCCACCUUGGCCUCCCAAAUAGCUGAGACUAUAGGU
rnacentral:lncRNA from 1 species